UACGUAGGGUGCAAGCGUUAAUCGGAAUUACUGGGCGUAAAGCGUGCGCAGGCGGCUUUGCAAGACAGAUGUGAAAUCCCCGGGCUUAACCUGGGAACUGCAUUUGUGACUGCAUGGCUGGAGUGCGGCAGAGGGGGAUGGAAUUCCGCGUGUAGCAGUGAAAUGCUUAGAUAUGCGGAGGAACACCGAUGGCGAAGGCAAUCCCCUGGGCCUGCACUGACGCUCAUGCACGAAAGCGUGGGGAGCAAACAGG
rnacentral:rRNA from 1 species